rnacentral:rRNA from 1 species
AUUGAACGCUGGCGGCAGGCCUAACACAUGCAAGUCGAGCGAGCGGCGCACGGGUGAGUAAUGUAUGGGGACUGCCCGAUAGAGGGGGAUAACUACUGGCAACGGUAGCUAAUACCGCAUACUAUCGGAUAACCCAUAUGGGAUUAGCUCGUGGGUGGGGUAAUGGCUCACCUAGGCGACGCGCCCUAGCUGGUGUGUGAGGAUGAUCAGCCACACUGGGACUGAGACACGGCCCAGACUCCUACGGAGGCAGCAGUGGGGAAUAUUGCACAAUGGGCGAAAGCCUGAUGCAGCCAUGCCGCGUGUAUGAAGAAGGCCCUAGGGUUGUAAAGUACUUUCAGUCGGGAGGCGUUACCGACAGAAUAAGCACCGGCUAACUCCGUGCCAGCAGCCGCGGUAAUAC